GUUAGCGGCGGACGGGUGAGUAACACGUGGGUAACCUGCCUGUAAGACUGGGAUAACUCCGGGAAACCGGGGCUAAUACCGGAUGCUUGAUUGAACCGCAUGGUUCAAUUAUAAAAGGUGGCUUUUAGCUACCACUUACAGAUGGACCCGCGGCGCAUUAGCUAGUUGGUGAGGUAACGGCUCACCAAGGCAACGAUGCGUAGCCGACCUGAGAGGGUGAUCGGCCACACUGGGACUGAGACACGGCCCAGACUCCUACGGGAGGCAGCAGUAGGGAAUCUUCCGCAAUGGACGAAAGUCUGACGGAGCAACGCCGCGUGAGUGAUGAAGGUUUUCGGAUCGUAAAACUCUGUUGUUAGGGAAGAACAAGUACCGUUCGAAUAGGGCGGUACCUUGACGGUACCUAACCAGAAAGCCACGGCUAACUACGUGCCAGCAGCCGCGGUAAUACGUAGGUGGCAAGCGUUGUCCGGAAUUAUUGGGCGUAAAGCGCGCGCAGGCGGUUUCUUAAGUCUGAUGUGAAAGCCCCCGGCUCAACCGGGGAGGGUCAUUGGAAACUGGGGAACUUGAGUGCAGAAGAGGAGAGUGGAAUUCCACGUGUAGCGGUGAAAUGCGUAGAGAUGUGGAGGAACACCAGUGGCGAAGGCGACUCUCUGGUCUGUAACUGACGCUGAGGCGCGAAAGCGUGGGGAGCGAACAGGAUUAGAUACCCUGGUAGUCC
rnacentral:rRNA from 1 species